rnacentral:rRNA from 1 species
AUUGAACGCUGGCGGCAGGCCUAACACAUGCAAGUCGAACGAGUGGCGGACGGGUGAGUAAUGUCUGGGAAACUGCCCGAUGGAGGGGGCUAACUACUGGAAACGGUAGCUAAUACCGCCUACCAUCGGAUGUGCCCAUAUGGGAUUAGCUCGUGGGUGGGGGAACGGCUCACCUAGGCGACGAUCCCUAGCUGGUCUGAGAGGAUGACCAGCCACACUGGAACUGUGAAACGGUCCAGACUCCUACGGGAGGCAGCAGUGGGGAAUAGUGCACAAGGGGCGCAAGCCUGAUGCAGCCAGGCCGCGUGUAUGAAGAAGGCCUUCGGGUUGUAAAGUACUUUCAGCGAGGAGGCGUUACUCGCAGAAGAAGCACCGGCUAACUCCGUGCCAGCAGCCGCGGUAAUAC